GACGUUGUCUGCUCCAAGUGCUGCAAUAUGCAAGGUAAAGAAAUGGAAGGGUUGUCGUGUUCAUCAGCGAUCGCAUAGAAAACAUGGGAAAUCAAAAACAACAUCAUCCCAAUGGACACUCCGAGCGACGCCGCCACCUCCUCCACAACCACCAUGACCAACGCCGACAACUCGAUCUUCUACUAUGACGAGGCGGGCAAGAACGAGUUCCAGCGCGACAAACCCUAGGCCAACAACCCCCACUACUGAGUAGCGCGUGAAGAUCUCCGCACUCGCGCGCUCUGGUGGCGCCAUCAAGGUCAUGGGCCGACGCUGAUGCCAUCAUCGUUAUGGACGCCUUCGCCCUCCCCGUCGAAGGCACUAAGACUCGCGUCAAUGCCCAGGCUGAUGCGUACGAGUACAUGGUCGAUUAUUCACAGACAAACAAGCAAUGAUUCUCAUGUUUAUGGGUCUUGCCCUAAAGUCAAGUUGCUUCUUGCAAUUUUCAUCUAAGAAAGCUAUAAUCUCCAUGAAACAACACACUCCCGUGGCUGCUAUCAGGACCAUGAAAGUAGUGGGACUCUCUGCAAGAUUCAUCAAAUUGAAAAAAGAAGGAAAAACUUGGUCACCUCAAUUCAUGAGAACUGGUUCAGUGCAACUUGUAUUAACACAUCAAAGCCUGCUGGUGAAGGUGCUAUUGUUAUACAAACAGUAGCUUAUAUCUUGCUUGCUAUGAAUGUUGGUCACAAUCAGCUCCAGCAAGGACUGGUGUUGACUUUCAUAAUCUUUCUACUCUCUCCACAUUGGAUCUCUCCUUCAAUUCUCUAACAGUAAGCUUUUCCCAUUAUAAGCAAUUGUGGGGUGCCAGUGGUUAGGUAAGAAUUGAGUGCAUAUGGAACGUUCGGGUUUGGGAGUGCCCUGGUAUUUUGGAUCCCACUGUUAAGCUUUUCUGGUUCCUUUGUGAACUUGUUGUCAAUUUUCUGUAUUUUCAAAUGUCUUCCUCUGUGUUCAGGAGCUAGGAUAAUUUGUUCCGCACAUAGUAACUGGUUAUUUAACACACUUUUCCUGGAAUGAGUGCAUGCUUGACACGGCAGACAUCUUUAUAGCUACCAGACUAGAGAAUUCUUGUAUAAAAUUGCCAAACUUUUUUUCUUUAGGAACAUGAUCAGCCUGUCUUUUUUUUUUCUUUAGUAAUAUGAUUCUCACCAAAUUAAAUCAAAAUUUGGCAUAUUAUUUUGCUUUUCAACUUCAGUAUCCAAAUUAACAUAUGUGCCAUGAUGCAGAAGAAAAGUUCAUGCAAACUUCCUCUGUAUCAGACUGGAAGACGUUUGAUACUUCUGCCUCAAUAAAUCUUAAACCCCCACCUAUUGAUCGCCAUAAAUCAUUUGAUGAGGAAGAAUUCUCCAAGAAGCCCACAAUGAUUUGACAAAUGAUUUUAUAGAAAUAAUUUUAAACAUCUCCAAUUUACAUCAUCCAAAUGUGACAGCUUGUAGGUUAUUGCUCAGAGUAUGGACAACACCUCUUGGUCUAUGAGUUUCAUAAAAAUGGAUCACAGCAUGACUUCAUUCACCUACCAGAUGAAUAUAGUAAACCAUUGAUAUGGAAUUCGCGGGUCAAAAUUGCUUUGGGGACUGCACGUGCUCUAGAGUACCUACAUGAAGUUAGUCCGCCAUCAGUUGUUCAUAAGAAUAUUAAGUCAGCCAACAUAUUAUUGGAUACAGAGCUUAAUCCUCAUCUUUCAGAUAGUGGAUUGGCAAGUUAUAUUCCAAAUGCGGACCAGCUCUGAAACUCCCUCACCACCGGCACUACAACCUCUCGCAGCGCUGAAACUCCCUAUCAAUGUCACUCUCACGGCGUUGCAACCUCACGGUUGAUCACGAAAAGUAAGCCUCUAUCUUCGUUUUUCUCUACUUUCUUCUCCUUCUCGCACUACCAUUUGAAAUCCUUGACUCGAAUUGUUAAUAGUUAGGAUUGGAUGUUAUAGAUUUGAUAAACUUGUGUAGAUGGCUGGUUGAAGAAUUUAGGACUACUUAGUGGCUGAUUAAGUAGACCAACUUUUUGUUUGGAAUAAUGAACUAACCAAUUUAAAUUCAAAAUCAGUUGGCA